rnacentral:rRNA from 1 species
AACGCGAAGAACCUUACCAAGGCUUGACAUCCCCCUGACAGGUGUAGAGAUACACUGUUCCUGCGGGACAGGGGAGACAGGUGGUGCAUGGUUGUCGUCAGCUCGUGUCGUGAGAUGUUGGGUUAAGUCCCGCAACGAGCGCAACCCUUAUCUUUAGUAGCCAGCAGUAAGAUGGGCACUCUAGAGAGACUGCCGUGGAUAACACGGAGGAAGGUGGGGACGACGUCAAAUCAUCAUGCCCCUUAUGUCUUGGGCAACACACGUGCUACAAUGGCUCGAACAAAGUGAAGCAAGCCCGCGAGGUGGAGCAAAUCACUAAAAGGAGUCCCAGUUCGGAUUGUAGUCUGCAACUCGACUACAUGAAGUUGGAAUCGCUAGUAAUCGCAAAUCAGCAUGUUGCGGUGAAUACGUUCCCGGGUCUUGUACACACCG